GCGAUGAUGGUGUAUAGCGGUAGCAUGUCCAAUUAACAACACUGCUACACGGAUGGCCCUGGUUUGAAUCCAGCUCAUCGCC